ACAAUCUCCUUGCCCUUGCUCCCUCACAACAAACACCCUGUGAGGUACCCCAAGUGGAAGAAAAUGUUGUUGGUGGGUAGAAAUCGCUCCCUCCCUGCACCAGCCGCCUUGUUUCGAGAAUGUGGUCUUGAGUCCUCCAGGUCAACCAGCAGCCCUGCGUUGCGCCUUCCUGCAGGAAAGUCCGGCUUUUCUUGGGAGCAGAGAAUGGUGACUGGGAAGCCACCUCCAAACAAAUGAGAAGAUGUCACCUGAGGACAGUCAGCCCCGUGGUGCACGGCUGCUUUCGAGUCUUGGUCAAUCCCAGCAGAUUCUGCUUUUUCUUUUAGUAAUAAAGGUGUUCUUGUGA